rnacentral:rRNA from 1 species
GACGAACGCUGGCGGCGCGCUUAACACAUGCAAGUCGAACGGAAAGGCCCUGCUUUUGUGGGGUGCUCGAGUGGCGAACGGGUGAGUAACACGUGAGUAACCUGCCCUUGACUUUGGGAUAACUUCAGGAAACUGGGGCUAAUACCGGAUAGGAGCUCCUGCUGCAUGGUGGGGGUUGGAAAGUUUCGGCGGUUGGGGAUGGACUCGCGGCUUAUCAGCUUGUUGGUGGGGUAGUGGCUUACCAAGGCUUUGACGGGUAGCCGGCCUGAGAGGGUGACCGGCCACAUUGGGACUGAGAUACGGCCCAGACUCCUACGGGAGGCAGCGGUGGGGAAUAUUGCACAAUGGGCGGAAGCCUGGUGCAGCAACGCCGCGUGCGGGAUGACGGCCUUCGGGUUGUAAACCGCUUUCGCCUGUGACGAAGCGUGAGUGACGGUAAUGGGUAAAGAAGCACCGGCUAACUACGUG